GAAGCGGCAACAGCUCAAAUUUGAAAUCUGGCGCAAGCCCGAGUUGUAAUUUGUAGAGGAUGCUUCUGGGCAGCGGCCGGUCUAAGUUCCUUGGAACAGGACGUCACAGAGGGUGAGAAUCCCGUAUGUGAUCGGUUGGCACCCGCUACGUAGCUCCUUCGACGAGUCGAGUUGUUUGGGAAUGCAGCUCUAAAUGGGAGGUAAAUGCCUUCUAAAGCUAAAUACCGGCCAGAGACCGAUAGCGCACAAGUAGAGUGAUCGAAAGAUGAAAAGCACUUUGGAAAGAGAGUUAAAAAGCACGUGAAAUUGUUGAAAGGGAAGCGCAUGCAACCAGACUUGUCCGCGGUGUUCCGCCGGUCUUCUGACCGGUCUACUCGCCGCGGGCAGGCCAGCAUCAUCUGGGAGCGCCGGAUAAAGGUAGCGGGAAUGUGGCCCCUCGGGGUGUUAUAGCUCGCUACACAAUACGGCGCCUCCCGGGUGAGGUCCGCGCUUCGGCUAGGAUGCUGGCGUAAUGGUUGUAUGCGGCCCGUCUUGAAACACGGACCAAGGAGUCUACCAUCUAUGCGAGUGUUCGGGUGUCAAACCCCUACGCGCAAUGAAAGUGAACGGAGGUGGGAACCGCAAGGUGCACCAUCGACCGAUCCUGAUGUCUUCGGAUGGAUUUGAGUAAGAGCAUAGCUGGUGGGACCCGAAAGAUGGUGAACUAUGCCUGAAUAGGGUGAAGCCAGAGGAAACUCUGGUGGA
rnacentral:rRNA from 1 species